AUGACCGAAGAGUGCGCAAUGAUUUGGCUCAGCCUUGUCGAGAAUUAUGCCUAUGUUGCUGUCAGCCUGGGUAUAAGUCUACAUUUGGAAAUCUUUGACCCAGUUGCUACACAUGAUUUGAUUCUUCUGACUGUUUACCUGAUCAUCAUUAUCAUCAUAUUAUCACCUCUAAAUGGAAUGGAUUAAUUAAUCCUGUAUAUUUACAAGGGAGUGUUUCUACGAUAUAGAUCUAUAGAUUGAUAGCACCAAAUUAAAACCAAAGGCACUCUUGGAAUAAAUUUUUUUCAACAACCUUUAUCUUUGAGAGGCCAAAACAAUUUUGAUAGGUUCUGAUUUGCACGAAUGUCCAUUUAGCACAGUGUUAUUUUGUGACAUUUUUUGUUAUUUAUUUUUGUCAAGCUUAUUAAAUUUUAUUUUGACAAUUUUCGAACCAUAGAACCCUGUUCAAUAAGUGGACCUCAUUAGCUGUCCGCUUUCAGGUUGGGCAGUAAGGGUCAGAGAAGGGCAAUCACGCAUUAUUAAAACCAGCCUUCUUAAGACCAAACGCAUAUCUGAUACCUUUUAUCAUUUAACAGCCUCAUUGGCAGAUCAGGAAAUGUGUUUUCCUGACAUAUCCUACGGUAUACUAAUAUGGUUAUUUUGCAUAUUUUUCAUCAAAAAUCAUGUUACUACCACUUUUUGUUGGCUUGCUAUUUACUGCAGAUAGGGUUCAUACAUAUUAUCAUAAACCAAACUUUCUACUUGUAAUCAUCAUGAUUCAAAUGUUGUAUUAGGUAUUUACUUUUUUAAUUAAUUACAUUUUCCAACUUUCUUCCUUUGUGCUCAAAAUCUUAUUGUGGAGGUGAGUUUGGUUCAUGCACAACAUGAUGCGUUAAAUAUUUAAUUACUACUCAAUACUAUAUUAUUAUUAAUAUGAACUCUCUGGAAGUUUGGAAAUGUGAAUUGACACCUGAUGACAUGAACUUAAGUCUUGUGUUUGUUUCUUUGUUUUGUUUUUUUGGUUAACUGCCUGAAGAGUUGGAUGUUGUAUUAUCUACCACAACCCAAAUACUUAAUAGUUUGUGCUACAUCUAUUCGCUCCAUUUAUCUGCUUAGCAGGAGAUAAUGUCCAUUCAUUGGUUCGUAUGACAAUUAGGGUGUAUUAAUUGAAAUCAAUGUUUACAAGGUCAUUCAUUUUUACACAAUUCCCGCAGUGUAUGCGCAGACUGUCAUUUACCAGGCACACUUUGUAUGUGGACUGACUGUACCACGUGCUGGGGUAGCUGUGCAAGUAUGGCAGGUGAAUGUGGUUGCUUGGGAGGUGCUGGUGAAGCAGGGCUGCCAAUACUAUUUAUAAUGGCUUUGAUUGUGCUGGGACUUUUUACAGUGAUUGGCAUAUUCUACAGUGUGCUGGUAGCUACAAUGGUUGGACAACGGAUUUGGCAGCGGCAUUACCAUAUACUUGCAAAAAGGAUGCUGACAAAAGUGAGUUAGGGACAUCUUCUAUCAUUUUUUUAUUAUUUUUAAUUAAAUAUUUUUUUGCCAUGCUUUAUAUUGUCUGCACACUGCAACACUAUAAAUUACCAUUUUAUCGAGCACUAAGUCAACAAGUGAAGCUCAACAACUGAACAAAGUUUUGUCCUAACUACUAGGGCCUAAAUUCUAGCCAAAUUCAGUAGAGGGGACACCUCUUGCAGACUAAGCAUACAUGAUCAAACAUGUGAUUGAUGAGAAAUAGUUUAGUUAAAGAUAUAUUCUCUAAGGCGAAGGAUGACUAAACUUUGAAUCUACCUGCUUUUAUGAGGCUGUCCUUUCUUUACCAACUGACAUGCAUUUUUUUUCUUUUUUGUUUUUUGAAAAAGAAACAAAAUUUUAUUGCUUUUAACAAUAAAAUACAGUGGUGGCCAAUAUGGCCACAAAAAGAAAACAUUUUGUCUUCUUGUUCCCUCCAUUGGAUUAAGAUGCGUUUCCAAGGUCCCUCCAUUGUAUGAUAAGAUGUUAAUCAUGUCUUCUUGUCCCAUUUACGGAACAAGAAACAUUUAACUUUGGGAUCUUAUGCCCUCUACUUAGCUUGAUCUGCGAGUUGUUUUCGACGAAUUAGUUGGUUUACUCAAGUCCGUACUGAAUGGCUAAACAGAUUUUUGCAUACACUAGAUCAACAAUUUAUCAUUUCUGGAUGUUUUAACGCUUCUGGAUCUUGUCAUUACUGCAUAUGUUACCAGAUAUUUAUUUGAAAAUUUAUUUACUCGUAGGAAUAUGUUGUCGAGGAUGUUGAUGGUGAGAUGACUGGAUCUGAUUGGUCUCCACCACCUCUCCCACCUGAGCAUAUUCAGCAGCUGAAAACGCUUGGCCUGCUAUAGAUUUGAAGGGGUAUUCUUAUUAUUCACCAAAAUAACAUGAUAUUGAGAUGGACUGCCUUUCUAUUUGGUGGGGUCAGUCUUUGCUAUGGGCUUCUGAGUCUCAUUCGCUUUAAUCUAAAAUGAGUAUAUGGUUUCUGGAAAUAUCCCAAAGUCAUUUCUUCCUGGUUGAGUUAUAUUUGUAAAAUUUUGUACGUGAAUUUGUGAAAAGUGUUGCCUCUCUCUCCCUCUCUAUCAGUGUAAGAAAUCAAGGAUAGGAUAUAUCAAAUAACUAACAUGUAUAUCAAUGAUGCUUUCAAUCCAUAAAUUGCUACUAAAGAACUUUUUGCAUUUCUUAGUUUGGGGAAUGACUGAAUUUUCCCCCGGUAGUAAACACAACACCGUUUCUGCUAUCUUUGUGUUUGGUUUUUUGUUUUUGUUUUUUUGGGUGGCAAGCAACAUCAAUAAGAAAUCUGAUGUGUAUAGCUAUUGUAUGACAGUAUGAUGAAGCAGUGCCCUCCGUAGAUAUAUUCAACCAAGUAUGAUUUCUCUAAUCAAACAAAUGAGGGGGCAGAGAUAAGGUUGAUCUUUAUAUGUGCUUCAAUAUAAUCUUUUUUAUUCGUUUAAUUAUUAUCAGGAUUUAGUCUAACAGAUGGUAUAUGGUGCAUAACGGUCGAGAGAAAAAAAGGAUUAAGUACAUUAAACACCCUAAACUUUGGGGUGAUUUUAAAUCGAUCUUCGAAACCCUACAAACCCUUACAAAAACUCACGAAAAACUUACACAAACCCCUUUGUCACUAACCGUGCAAUGUGAGACUUAAUUUGAGCACUACAUGAGCUAAUAUUUGAAUUCGAAUACACAAACCCCUUUGUCACUAACCGUGCAAUGUGAGACUUAAUUUGAGCACUACAUGAGCUAAUAUUUGAAUUCGAAGACCAAAAUACAAUUCCGAGCCCAUUGUUACAAUUAAGCCAUACAUUUAAGUACUAAAGACACAUCGCUAUAAUUAAGCCACACAUUUGAGUACUAAAGACACAUCGCCUAAAUAACUGAACAGCCUAACACAGAUAACUUACCGUAACCUCUAGGAAAAGACUGAAAACUAGAAAGCAGGCCGAAAGAAAAAUACAAAGCAGAUUGACCAAAGAGGGAAAUGGAAAAGAGAAGAAUCAAAGACCGACAAAGGAAGGUUUGAGGUGUGGUUUCCUUCUUUUUGGUGAAAGAGGUGUGGUUUCCUUAACCUAUGGUUUAGGCUUGUUUUAUCUUUCAAUGGUUGGGAUUAUUUUUCAAUCAACGCUUUUUAAAUCCACCGAAUAUUCGGUGCAAUGGAUUUAAUCUGUCUCAAAUGGUCAAUAAAUCCACUUUCAAAAUCAACUAGGUUUUUGUUGAGCGAUAUUUGUCUUCUUCAAAAACGACAUUGAUAAUAUAUAUAUAUAUAUAUAUAUAUAUAUAUAUAAUUGUAACGAAGUCGGUUGUAGAUGAUAUGAAUUAAAUUAAUAUAUGAGACAGGUGUUGGCACUCCAGAGGUGAGAGUUGAGGAUGCUUCCACUUUCAGCUUUGAUUUCAACAGGCGCUCUACCAUUAAACAAUCAAAACAAAGGUAUCUGUGGGAACCCAAUGGCAAAAAUAUUAUAUAAAAAGAGUCCACGGGAAACCAAACCAGGGAAGAACCAGUAAAGCCAUGUUCAAAACCACCAAAUCAACACCACCACCCCCAUUAUAAAAAUAAAAUAACAUAAAAUAAAAUAAAGGUGUCGGAAUAUCAGCCCACUUACCUCUAAUCCUUAUCCACUCCUUCAUCUGUUUAACUGCCGCUUCUGCAUCUCAUCUCCCUAUAAAUAUUUGUCCCAACACAACCACCUUCUCCAUCAAAUUCAGUCUGUGCAAAACCAUUUUGAAAGCAAACCACUUUGAAAGCAAGUUACAGAAGAGAGAGAGAGAGAGAGAUGGCAGAUAUUGCAAUUUUGGUAGCUGAAGAGUAUGAGAGGAGGGUGAAGAAUGCAAGGAAGGCUGGAUCUGCUGAAGGAGAUCAUCAGCUGGAGACUGACUUGUUUUCCUGCGUUUCAGUUAUGGCUCACUCCCUCCACAAGAAGAUUGGACAAGAAAAGAUGGAGUUUGUCAAGUGGGUUAUGGAGCCCAAGAGCCAGAUUGGUCUUGAGGCCUCCAAUGGCUUCUUCUCUGCUUGAAUUUUCUUUGCCUUUUUUUUUUUUUGGGAUCUUUUUAUUUAUUUUCUUGCUGUACAUGUAACAUGUAACUUGAUAUCCAGCUUCUCCUUCGUUUUCAUUUGAUCUUUUUAUAAUUCAGAUAAUCUGUACAUAUUUAUCUUUUUAUUUAACAUGUUCUGAAUGAAUAUGAUUUUUUUAUUUAUCGCAUUUUCUUUUUUGACGAGGUGUCAUCACAUUCGAAAGGGUAAUCACCGUUUGAUCGCAUUCCGAUUUGGCUUGCAUAAAGUGCUUCCAACAUUGAAAUAGAUGCAAAUUUCUUUACAUGUGCCUGAGAUUUAAACUCCAAUAUUGCUAUUAAAUCAGAAAAAAAAAAAAGGAAAUGAAAAUUGUGAAUUUAUAGAGUGGAAUUUUGAAAUCAAUUACCUUGUGAUUGGGAUGGUUUGCCUCCUCUUUUGCUGCUGCCGACACUCGAAAAAGAUGUAAC
rnacentral:lncRNA from 1 species